CUAGGUAUAGCUCAGUGGUAGAGCGUGUGCUUAGCAUGCAUGAGGUCCUGGGUUCAAUCCCCAGUACCUCCA
rnacentral:tRNA from 1 species